rnacentral:rRNA from 1 species
UACGAAGGGGGCUAGCGUUGUUCGGAAUUACUGGGCGUAAAGCGCACGUAGGCGGACUUGUAAGUUGGGGGUGAAAUCCCGGGGCUCAACCCCGGAAUUGCCUUCAAGACUGCGAGUCUGGAGGACAGGAGAGGCGAGCGGAAUUCCGAGUGUAGUGGUGAAAUUCGUAGAUAUUCGGAGGAACACCAGUGGCGAAGGUGGCUCGCUGGACUGAUACUGACGCUGAGGUGCGAAAGCUAGGGGAGCAAACACG